GAAUAAAUUGUACUUGUAAGAGUAGUUUUAAGGCAACAUACUUUUCACUUUUACUCGAGUAUAUUUGCGAAGAAAAAAUGUUACUUUUACUCCGUUAUAUUCGGCUACAUUCCGCUCGUUACUUUUAUUUUUUACCCAUUUUUUAUUCAACGCACGUUCUGUUUGUUUCUUUCUCUCAGAGACUUCAGCCAAAGAGGCUGACUGGUCUUUGCUUUGGCGCUGUCAUAGCCCCACAUGACUCCGUUUCACCAAUCAAACGUAGCCAGUCACAGCACACAGAAGGAUGAGUGGGCGACAACAAUGGCUGAAACAACGGCGGAGGUGUGCAACGCUUUGCGCGGACAAUGGAGGAGUUAGACCAGGUCUCCAGUGACACAACCAGAGCCCGCGGAACGCCCUCCCGCCGCUCUGAGUCGAGUGUCCGGUUCCACGUCGCCAGCUCCCAGCUGACCGCCUGGAAAGAUGACCAGCCGGACGUUCGUUUCCUGUGUUCGGAAGCUCGGGUUCCAGCUUGUUCCUGAUCAGGGUCGCGGGGAGUGCUGGAGCCCAUCCCAGCGUGCAUUGGGCGAGAGGCAGGAAUACACCUUGGACAGGUCAACAUUCUAUCGCAGGGCACUCACAUCAUUCACUCACCAUUCACUCACACACUCAUACCAACUGGCAAUUUAGAGCCUCCGGUCAGCCGACCUGCAUGCCUUGUCUGGACUGUGGGAUGAAACUGGAGUACCUGGAGGAAACCCACGCGGACAAGGGAUUCGAACCCAGGACCUGUGAGGCAACAGUGCUACCCACUGCAGCACCGUACCGCCCGUAAAAAAUUAAAGAUAAUAUAAUUAAAGUUAAUUAAUAAGAAUUAGUUCAAACUUUGUGUUAUCAUCCACUCAGUACUGGAUACAGACCCCUCCCUGCUUCUUUUGCCACCAGACUUUAAAAAAAAAUUGACCCACAGGCAUAGACAUUUAAACAGUGUGAUUUUUAAAAUUAUAACCUUAACAAUUCUGCCUCCUCCAUUGUUAGAUUUCACUGACAAUGCACAUCCCUGUAAUUUUGUUUAAAUACUGUAGCAAACAAUGAGCAGUAAAUGUUGCGUAAGUCACCGCGUGGUGUCCUAGAAACAGAGUAUUCAACAACGUUUUUGAUUUAUCUUCUGUCGGCUUUCAGUCAGUAACUAGUUGUUUCGAAAAUGAGGUAUGUACAAAAAUGGAGCAAGCUCUGUAAAUUGCAUUGAAUGAGAGGACAAAGUUUGUUUUCUUUGUCUCAAUGUUAAUACAGUUUGCAAAAGUUCGAAUUCAAGGUCGCUGUACCUGCCAGGUGUGUCAGUACAUUUUAGACUUGUUUGUGAGACACACUGAAUCUAGUCGCACUGUUCAAACACAUGCACCCUACACUGCGUAGAAUCUCCAUGCAGAAACAAGCUUUGAAUCGCAUUUAGUUCAACAGCAGCUGUCUGGCAGGUACUAACAACUGCCCGUCGUGACCUUUGAAAGUGAUGACCAGGAAGGGGGAAGCAUCGUCGUCACAGUUACGGUCACUGUCAUGACCAUCGCCUUAUUAUUUGUUUGUGUUUAUUUAAUCAGGUAGGUCAACCGCGAACUUAACUACGUUCUCUUUCGCAAUGACAGUCUGGGGAAUCAAGGUCCAUAGGAACACAACAGAUUGUCUAGCCAAUCAUAUUGAUGGUUAAGUGGCCAGAUGAAGGUAGCCACCUUUGUGGGAAUUUGAUCAGCUCAAUGAGGUUGUAUCCUAUACUCUUUCAAAAAGCAAUCAGACAUGUAUAAUGUCCACAGCGAGUCAGGACUUCAGUUUAAAGUCUCAACUGAAGGAUGGAUAGCAUUUUAUUAUUUUUCUCUCAAAGAGUACUGCUGUACAACAGAGGUCUGCCUGGCCCUCUGUUAGCGUAGCCAGCAAUAGCAGCAGUCACUAAGAUUGCUGCAAACCAAGUUUCUGUUUGGUUCUGACGGAUGAGCAUAGUGACGUUUGACCUGGGAUGCGGAGUCAACUGCUUGUGACCUCAAACCGGCUCCAAAACAGAAUUCUGUUUCCCCGGUCCCGGCUGUGCUGCUGACCUUUUGUGAAUGUUUCUUUUUGCGUCUGGACAGGCUAUGUUUUGUUUUUGUUGUUUUGUCUUUUCGAGCAAUUGCAGCUAGAUCUCACAACAGUCAGAUACAAAGCCACAUUUUAACUGAUAGUGUAAAGAAGGCCACUGUCCCAGCUAUUGCGGUACAAGUAAACCGUUUAAUUCUUUUAAAUAUCAUUUUGUGAAAUUGAAGCCAGCCUUAUUUUAGUGUCAAAACAUGUUAUUUUCUUCUUUUUUGGAUGUAUGACUUUGUGAAGCCCAGUGUUCUGAUCUGUUCUGUGGAUUCUCUUCAGUCCCAUCCCAUCCUGACAGACCUCAUUUUUUCUGGAUCCCAUACAAAAAUAAAACAAAAUUGUGUGUGUGUGCGUGCGUGCAUGCGUGCAUGCGUGUGUGUGUAUGUGUGUGCGUGCACAUUCUUGUGAACCUGAAAUGAAGGGGUUUGGCAUUGAUGCAAAUUUUAACUUCAGAGCCGAUUUGGUAUGGCUCUGUCUUACUGAGUGAAGGCUGGUGAUCAGGAAGAAUGAGGGUGUUGGUUUCACUGUCCUCUCUCCAUGGCUGCAGCAACUGUUUCUACACAGAAUAUGUUUAAACUGCAGUAUUCAUUUGAGUGGAGAGAGAGGGACACACGUUGUGAUCACAUUUAGCAUGUAGGCUUAAACUGCUAGGUUAUAAGUUAAAAGACUGGGGGAGAAUUGAGAGGUCAGUAUCAGUAAGCUUAACCUAGCCUUAGUGUAUUCAGCGCUGUAACUAUUUCUGAUCAAAUACUCAUGCUCCGUAAAGCAGUUUGUAAAUUCGCCCGUUUCAUUUUUAAGAAACUGUGAAGUCAAUAGAAUAUAUUUCAGAAAUUUUGCCCAAGGGAAUUUACAAACCUUUAGAAUCCUGUGUUGAGUGCUGUAUUCCUUUACAUAUUAAUGAAAUUGGCAAUGAAUUGGGUUAGUUUUCUUUUUUCAAUAAAUAUAGCUUGUGAAUAAUCUUUGUCUUUGCUAACAUUAACAUCGCCCAG